rnacentral:rRNA from 1 species
UGGGGAAUAUUGCACAAUGGGCGAAAGCCUGAUGCAGCGACGCCGCGUGGAGGAUGACGGUCUUCGGAUUGUAAACUCCUGUUAAGUGGGAAGAAAGAACGUGUAUUAAUACCACACGGAGAUGACGGUACCACUAGAGAAAGCACCGGCUAACUUCGUGCCAGCAGCCGCGGUAAUACGAGGGGUGCAAGCGUUAUUCGGAAUAACUGGGCGUAAAGAGCGCGUAGGCGGCUUGUUAAGUCUGUUGUUAAAUUGUCUGGCCUAACCAGAUGUCGGCAAUAGAAACUGUCAAGCUAGAGGACAAGAGAGAGGGGUGGAAUUCUCGGAGUAGCGGUAAAAUGCGUAGAUCUCGAGAGGAACACCAAUGGCGAAGGCAGCCCCUUGGCUUGUAUCUGACGCUCAAGUGCGAAAGCGUGGGGAGCAAACAGG